CCUACGGGAGGCAGCAGUCGAGAAUCAUUCACAAUGGGGGAAACCCUGAUGCUGCGACGCCGCGUGGGGGAAUGAAGGUCUUCGGAUUGUAAACUCCUGUCAUGUGGGAGCAAAUUAAAAGGAUAGUACCACAGGAGGAAGACACGGAUAACUCUGUGCCAGCAGCCGCGGUAAUACAGAGGUCUCAAGCGAUGUUCGGAAUCACUGGGCGUAAAGCGUGCGGAGGCGGUUUCGUAAGUCGGGUGUGAAAGGCGCGGGCUCAACCCGCGGACGGCACAUGAUACUGGGAGACUAGAGUAAUGGAGGGGGAACCGGAAUUCUCGGUGUAGCAGUGAAAUGCGUAGAUAUCGAGAGGAACACUCGUGGCGAAGGCGGGUUCCUGGACAUUAACUGACGCUGAGGCACGAAGGCCAGGGGAGCGAAAGGGAUUAGAUACCCGAGUAGUC
rnacentral:rRNA from 1 species